AGGAUAGCCCAGUGGUUAGGGCAUUAGUUUGGGACUCCAGAGGCCUGGGUUCAAUUCUCUGUUCU
rnacentral:tRNA from 1 species